rnacentral:rRNA from 1 species
CAGUAGCCGCGGUAAUACGUAGGUCCCGAGCGUUGUCCGGAUUUAUUGGGCGUAAAGCGAGCGCAGGCGGUUAGAUAAGUCUGAAGUUAAAGGCUGUGGCUUAACCAUAGUACGCUUUGGAAACUGUUUAACUUGAGUGCAAGAGGGGAGAGUGGAAUUCCAUGUGUAGCGGUGAAAUGCGUAGAUAUAUGGAGGAACACCGGUGGCGAAAGCGGCUCUCUGGCUUGUAACUGACGCUGAGGCUCGAAAGCGUGGGGAGCAAACAGGAUUAGAUACCCCUGUAGUCCCUGUCUCUUAUACA